rnacentral:rRNA from 1 species
UACGAAGGGUGCAAGCGUUAAUCGGAAUUACUGGGCGUAAAGCGCGCGUAGGUGGUUCAGUAAGUUGGAAGUGAAAUCCCCGGGCUCAACCGGGGAACUGCUUUCAAAACUGCUGAGCUAGAGUACGGUAGAGGGUGGUGGAAUUUCCUGUGUAGCGGUGAAAUGCGUAGAUAUAGGAAGGAACACCAGUGGCGAAGGCGACCACCUGGACUGAUACUGACACUGAGG